rnacentral:rRNA from 1 species
GUGCCAGCCGCCGCGGUAAUACGUAGGUGGCAAGCGUUAUCCGGAAUUAUUGGGCGUAAAGCGCGCGUAGGCGGUUUUUUAAGUCUGAUGUGAAAGCCCACGGCUCAACCGUGGAGGGUCAUUGGAAACUGGAAAACUUGAGUGCAGAAGAGGAAAGUGGAAUUCCAUGUGUAGCGGUGAAAUGCGCAGAGAUAUGGAGGAACACCAGUGGCGAAGGCGACUUUCNUGGUCUGUAACUGACGCUGAUGUGCGAAAGCGUGGGGAUCAAACAGGAUUAGA